CAAUAGCGUAUAUUAAAGUUGUUGCAGUUAAAAAGCUCGUAGUUGGAUUUCUGGUAGGAGUGACCGUUCCGAACUUGAUUGUUCGUGUAUUGUGUUUUCUCCAGCCAUCCUUGUGGAGAACUUUUCUUGCAUUAAUUUGUAGGGAUUGGGACCCGCAUCGUUUACUGUGAAAAAAUUAGAGUGUUUAAAGCAGGCAAUCGCUUGAAUACAUUAGCAUGGAAUAAUAAGAUAGGACUUUGGUACUAUUUUGUUGGUUUGCAUACCAAAUUAAUGAUCAACAGGAACAGUUUGAGGAUAUUCGUAUGAACAUGUCAGAGGUGAAAUUCUUGGAUUUUGAUCAGACGAACUACUGCGAAAGCAUUCAUCAAGGAUGUUUUCAUUAA
rnacentral:rRNA from 1 species